GCCUUCGUGGUAUAGCAGUCAGCACGCUCGACCCGUAUUCGAGAGGUCCGUGGUUCGAUUCCCGGCCAGGGCA
rnacentral:tRNA from 1 species